UACGUAGGGUGCAAGCGUUAAUCGGAAUUACUGGGCGUAAAGCGUGCGCAGGCGGUUUUGUAAGUUUGUCGUGAAAUCCCCCGGGCUCAACCUGGGGAAUGGCGAUGAAGACUGCAAGGCUAGAAUCUGGCAGAGGGGGGUAGAAUUCCACGUGUAGCAGUGAAAUGCGUAGAGAUGUGGAGGAACACCGAUGGCGAAGGCAGCCCCCUGGGUCAAGAUUGACGCUCAUGCAC
rnacentral:rRNA from 1 species